rnacentral:rRNA from 1 species
AGGACGAACGCUGGCGGCGUGCCUAAUACAUGCAAGUCGAACGGUCUUUCUAUGGAAGCUUGCUCCACUGAGAAGAUAGUGGCGAACGGGUGAGUAACACGUGGGUAACCUGCCCAUAAGAGGGGGAUAACAUCCGGAAACGGGUGCUAAUACCGCAUAGUUUUCUUGAUCGCAUGAUCGGGAAAGGAAAGACGGCCUUUGUGCUGUCGCUUAUGGAUGGACCCGCGGCGUAUUAGUUAGUUGGUGAGGUAACGGCUCACCAAGACGAUGAUACGUAGCCGACCUGAGAGGGUGAUCGGCCACAUUGGGACUGAGACACGGCCCAAACUCCUACGGGAGGCAGCAGUAGGGAAUCUUCCGCAAUGGACGAAAGUCUGACGGAGCAACGCCGCGUGAGUGAAGAAAAGGGUUUUCGGAUCGUAAAACUCUGUUGUCAGAGAAGAACAAGUUGGAGAGUAACUGCUCCAGCCUUGACGGUAUCUGACCAGAAAGCCACGGCUAACUACGUGCCAGCAGCCGC